UACGUAGGGUGCGAGCGUUAAUCGGAAUUACUGGGCGUAAAGCGUGCGCAGGCUGUUCUGUAAGUCAGAUGUGAAAUCCCCGAGCUCAACUUGGGAACUGCGUUUGAAACUACAGGACUAGAAUAUGUCAGAGGGGGGUAGAAUUCCACGUGUAGCAGUGAAAUGCGUAGAGAUGUGGAGGAAUACCGAUGGCGAAGGCAGCCCCCUGGGCCAAUACUGACGCUCAUGCACGAAAGCGUGGGGAGCAAACAGG
rnacentral:rRNA from 1 species